GACGUAGGGCGCGAGCGUUGUCCGGAUUUAUUGGGCGUAAAGAGCUCGUAGGCGGCUUGUCGCGUCGAAUGUGAAAUCCCGUGGCUCAACUGCGGGUCUGCAUUCGAUACGGGCAGGCUAGAGUUCGGUAGGGGAGACUGGAAUUCCUGGUGUAGCGGUGAAAUGCGCAGAUAUCAGGAGGAACACCGGUGGCGAAGGCGGGUCUCUGGGCCGAUACUGACGCUGGAGG
rnacentral:rRNA from 1 species